CUCUUAUCUUGAGCGGUGGAGGGACUGGCCCUACGAACCCGCGGCAACCUUCAAAUAAAUGUUUUAUUUUGAAAGGUGCUAAUUCCUGCAAGGCAUAUGUCUUGGUAGAUGAGGG
rnacentral:ncRNA from 1 species